rnacentral:rRNA from 1 species
UACGUAGGGUGCGAGCGUUGUCCGGAAUUAUUGGGCGUAAAGGGCUCGUAGGCGGUUUGUCGCGUCGGGAGUGAAAACUCAGGGCUUAACCCUGAGCCUGCUUCCGAUACGGGCAGACUUGAGUACUGCAGGGGAGACUGGAAUUCCUGGUGUAGCGGUGGAAUGCGCAGAUAUCAGGAGGAACACCGGUGGCGAAGGCGGGUCUCUGGGCAGUAACUGACGCUGAGGAGCGAAAGCGUGGGGAGCGAACAGG